AGGUGUCAGGUUGGCCCGAGCCACUGACAAGCCUCAAACUGGCUGUCUGGAUCCUGGGAUGGCAUAUAUUACUCACGUGCGGUUUAGCAUCUCCAUGACUCCAUCGCACUCGGCAUUCCUUUUGCUUGCCACCGUGCCUCGGCCUAUGUAAACUGUUAGCCGGCAUUGUUAUCACCUGUAUCACUAUUCACUAUCACUACCAGUGACAAGGGCGCCAAAUAUGGCGAUUCGAGGCGUUACGAUUCCAUCCGCUUUUGCCCUAGUUUUCUAUCUCGUCAUCCUGUUGGCGGAAGUCUUCUUCGAAUGACGCUUCGAGGUUUAGCAAUCUAAUCUCGUCAGAGUGGCCUCUCUGAGACUUGAACCCUCAUUCUCAUGCUUGGCAGUCCUCAAGGUAUCCAGAUUGAUCUUGAUUAUAGAUUUCUAUCCUCUUUGCACAAUUUUCUGAGUUCAGAAACAAGGACAGGGUCUUGGUUUUCCAAUUUCCUGUCAAGCAGAAGCAGCAGCAUGGUUGUGGUGGUGGAUAUGGUCAAAAAAAGUUGGAGAGACACCUUACAGGUAAAACUGUUAUCAUUUGGAAAUAGUGGCAGCAUUGAUCUAGAGAUGUUUUGUUUUAUUUUUAUUAUGAUAGCAUCACAUGUUUGGUCCU